GGUCAUAGCAUUUCUUUCUCUUCCCCUUUUCCACAGCAAACAAAGAGGACUAUGAGGAGGAAUAUGAUGACUAUUCUACACAAACACCAGACUAUGACUACACCGCCACCUUCGAUUACACCUAUUUCAGUAACACCACCGGCCAUGAGGACUAUAGUUUGUAUGUAAUUCUAGGAGAGAAGAAGAAUGUGGAGGAGAAGGAUCUUGGGAAUAAGGCUUUAGCGAUUGGCUCCCCAUGCCCAGUGCUACUCCUCGGAUUGGCUGCUCACCAACUCCAUCGAUUACUGUGAAUGAAACCGAGCACUGCAGAACAUACACAGAUAUACAGGACCCUGAACUGAGCAGAAAGUUACCUAAUAUUCUGAAAUUGGACUGAGCAGAAAGUUACCCAAUAUUCUGGAAUUGGACUGAGCAGAAAGUUACCCAAUAUUCUGGAAUUGGACUGAGGAGAAAGCUACCCAAUAUUCUGUAAUUGGACCUUUUUAAGGAUCAAAUGGACACAGCAUGAGAUUCUCCACCACUGACCUUCUAUACUGUAGUUGGAAAAACUCAUAGUGACUCCUGAAUCCUAACUUAUGAAAGAAUCCCACAACUUGAAUUCAUAAACAUCUCCCAUAAUAAUAUUUGCAUUGUAUGCACGUCUCAAGUUGUAAGAUCAAAUCAAAAUCAAAAUCAAAUGUAUUUAUAAAGCCCUUCUUACGUCAGCUGAUACCUCAAACUGUUCUCAAAAUACAGAAACCCAGCCUAAAACCCCAAACAGCUAGCAAUGCAGGUGUAGAAGCACGGGAGGAAAAACUCCCUAGAAAGGCCAAAACCUAGGAAGAAACCUAGAGAGGAACCAGGCUAUGAGGGGUGGCCAGUCCUCUUCUGGCUGUGAUGUGUCCCUUAGAGUAAUAAUAGCACAAAGCCAAUAUACCCCACGUAUUCCAUCUUGUUUGGACUUCAUACAAACUAAUAUGUAUAUUAUACAUGCUGUUUAUCUUUUAACACAUCUUUUCCAAGUAUGUUUUGUUUCUGAUAUUCUGUUAUGAAAAUAUAAUGCUUUCUACAACCAUAGUAAAAAAAUUAUCUUCUUUAUGGUCAA